rnacentral:rRNA from 1 species
UACGUAGGGGGCAAGCGUUGUCCGGAUUCAUUGGGAGUAAAGAGCGUGUAGGCGGCCAGGUAGGUCGGUUGUGAAAACUGGAGGCUCAACCUUCAGACGUCGACCGAAACCAUCUGGCUAGAGUCCGGGAGAGGAGAGUGGAAUUCCUGGUGUAGCGGUGAAAUGCGCAGAUAUCAGGAAGAACACCCGUGGCGAAAGCGGCUCUCUGGAACGGUACUGACGCUGAGACGCGAAAGCGUGGGGAGCGAACAGG